rnacentral:tRNA from 1 species
GUAGCUCAGUGGUAGAGCACUUGCCUAGCAUGCAUGAGGCCCUGGGUUCCAUUCCGAGC